AGAGUUUGAUCCUGGCUCAGAACGAACGCUGGCGGCAGGCCUCAUACAUGCAAGUCGAGCGGUCCUUCGGGACAGCGGCGAACGGGUUAGUAACGCGUGGGAACGUGCCCUUUAGUACGGAAUAGCCAUUGGAAACGAUGAUUAAUACCGUAUACGCCCCAAGGGGGAAAGAUUUAUCGCUAAAGGAUCGGCCCGCGUUAGAUUAGCUUGUUGGUGAGGUAAUGGCUCACCAAGGCUCCGAUCUUUAGCUGGUUUGAGAGGACGAUCAGCCACACUGGGACUGAGACACGGCCCAGACUCCUACGGGAGGCAGCAGUAGGGAAUAUUGGACAAUGGGGGAAACCCUGAUCCAGCAAUGCAGCGUGAGUGACGAAGGCCUUAGGGUUGUAAAACUCUUUCAUCGGUGAGGAUAAUGACAGUAGCCGAAGAAGAAGGACCGGCUAAUUCCGUGCCAGCCGCCGCGGUAAUAC
rnacentral:rRNA from 1 species